CUUAACUUCGCAAAAUGUUUUCCUUAGUGUUAAAGCAUCAUCACAAAAAAACUGUCUUAAAUUUGACUUAAAGGAAAUAUUAUUCUGUACGGAUGUCUUUCAGCGACUUACAACAACAAACAUCAUGUCGGGAUACACUUCAGUGCAGUGAUCAAUACUAAAUAGGAAUGGUUCAAAAGGUUGUAACUAAUAUCAGCGCCGGAAGCCACCAUGACCAUGGGUAUCACCUUACGAAUGGAAUUGAGAGAGACGACCGGAAGCAGCAAACUGUGCUAUCCUGGAAUGUUGAGGCUUAACGGUACAACUGUACACGCAGGCGGUACCCAGUGCAAAACUAAUGUGUUAAGCAAUCAUUGUGAUUCAACGAAGAUGAUUAUAUAAAAACGAAGAUGAUUAUAUAAACAAAUACGAGUUUUAUAAAUGUAAUGGAAUUUAUAAACGCUAUCCUUGUGACGCUAACAAUAUUAGAUUUUUAAAUUCCAGAAAUAAAUUUUGCAGCAUUAAAAAGGGGUACAAAACGUAUAUAUUUCAAUAAAAAGCAUACAUUAGCUAAGCUGAGCGAAAAUAAUCCAAAACAUUUUUGGAGAUAUAUAAAUAUAUAAAAAAGAGAAUUUUUCCCAAACAGUAAUGAUGUCAACAUGGACCAAACUUUUUAUUACUUUUUCGAUCGUGGUAUUUAUUCUGAUUCUUUAUAAAAAGGUGCAAGUAUACUUAUUUUUAAAAAGUGUGACAAAAGUAGUCUUCCAAUCAUUAAGGAAUAACACUGGUUAAUAUAAUUUCUAAAAUAUUUUCAAACAGAUUCAACUGUUGGUGUGAGGAAGAAAAUACAUAUUUAAUCCUUUUCAAUUCGGUUUGAGAGAAAAACGUAGUACAACCGAUUGUAUUUUUAGCUUAAAUAGCAUUAUUCAAAGUAUUCUUUUGCAGAAACAUAAGUUAUAUUGUGCUUUUAUUGAAAAGGCUUUUGAAACAGUA